rnacentral:rRNA from 1 species
UCCGUAGGGGGCAAGCGUUGUCCGGAAUCAUUGGGCGUAAAGCGCGCGUAGGCGGCCCGGUAAGUCCGCUGUAAAAGUCCAGGGCUCAACCCUGGAAAGCCGGUGGAUACUGUCGGGCUAGAGUCCGGAAGAGGCGAGUGGAAUUCCUGGUGUAGCGGUGGAAUGCGCAGAUAUCAGGAGGAACACCGAUGGCGAAGGCAGCUCGCUGGGACGGUAACUGACGCUGAGACGCGAAAGCGUGGGGAGCAAGCAGG